rnacentral:rRNA from 1 species
AGAGUUUUGAUCCUGGCUCAGAUCUGAACGCUUGGCGGCAUGCCUUACACAUCGCAAGUCGAACGGCAGCACGGGAGCAAUCCUGGUGGCGAGUGGCGAACGGGUGAGUAAUACAUCGGAACGUGCCCUGUCGUGGGGGAUAACUAGUCGAAAGAUUAGCUAAUACCGCAUACGACCUGAGGGUGAAAGCGGGGGACCGUAAGGCCUCGCGCGAUAGGAGCGGCCGAUGUCUGAUUAGCUAGUUGGUGGGGUAAAGGCCCACCAAGGCGACGAUCAGUAGCUGGUCUGAGAGGACGAUCAGCCACACUGGGACUGAGACACGGCCCAGACUCCUACGGGAGGCAGCAGUGGGGAAUUUUGGACAUUUGGGGCAACCCUGAUCCAGCAAUGCCGCGUGUGUGAAGAAGGCCUUCGGGUUGUAAAGCACUUUUGUCCGGAAAGAAAUCCCUUGCCCUAAUACGGCGGGGGGAUGACGGUACCGGAAGAAUAAGCACCGGCUAACUACGUGCCAGCAGCCGCGGUAAUACGUAGGGUACGAGCGUUAAUCGGAAUUACUGGGCGUAAAGCGUGCGCAGGCGGUUUUGUAAGACAGGCGUGAAAUCCCCGAGCUCAACUUGGGAAUGGCGCUUGUGACUGCAAGGCUAGAGUAUGUCAGAGGGGGGUAGAAUUCCACGUGUAGCAGUGAAAUGCGUAGAGAUGUGGAGGA